rnacentral:rRNA from 1 species
AGAGCGAACGCUGGCGGCAGGCCUAACACAUGCAAGUCGAGCGCCCCGCAAGGGGAGCGGCAGACGGGAGAGUAACACGUGGGAACGUACCCUUCAGUUCGGAACAACCCAGGGAAACUUGGGCUAAUACCGAAUACGUCCGUAAGGAGAAAGAUUUAUCGCUGAAGGAUCGGCCCGCGUCUGAUUAGCUAGUUGGUGAGGUAACGGCUCACCAAGGCUACGAUCAGUAGCUGGUCUGAGAGGAUGAUCAGCCUCACUGGGACUGAGACACGGCCCAGACUCCUACGGGAGGCAGCAGUGGGGAAUAUUGGACAAUGGGCGCAAGCCUGAUCCAGCCAUGCCGCGUGGAUGAUGAAGGCCUUAAGGGUUGUAAAGUCCUUUCGACGGGGAAGAUAAUGACGGUACCCGUAGAAGAAGCCCGGCUAACUUCGCGCCAGCAGCCGC